UAGCUUAGGACGGACUAAGCUAAACAAGUAACGGGGAGCGCGUGCGGGUGGAGGAAUAUUUAUUACGGGAGAGAAAAAGGCAGGCUAAAAGCGUUUUUAGCACCGGAGAGCUAGGGCAAAGUGGAGACCAGGCCAGAGCGGCCUCAAGAGUGGCCUCGAGGUAACGGCGUGUUAAACGGAGCGAUGGUCUCCAUAGGGUUCGGGGACAAGAAGUGGGAGCGAAGGGGAGCUUUGAGACGUAGGGAGACCGGAGAAAAUAAUACGUCUAGGCGUGCCCGUUCACGUAGGGUUGAUGAGGACGUAGAGUAGACUCGGCGGGCGGCGAGAUCGGCGAACAGCAAUAGCGUUCUCCUGCGGGGGCCGUGGCUUCUCUAG
rnacentral:rRNA from 1 species